AUUGAACGCUGGCGGCAUGCCUUACACAUGCAAGUCGAACGGCAGCGCGGACUUCGGUCUGGCGGCGAGUGGCGAACGGGUGAGUAAUACAUCGGAACGUACCCUGUUGUGGGGGAUAACUAGUCGAAAGAUUAGCUAAUACCGCAUACGACCUGAGAGUGAAAGUGGGGGACCGCAAGGCCUCACGCAGCAGGAGCGGCCGAUGUCUGAUUAGCUAGGUGGUGGGGUAAAGGCCCACCAAGGCGACGAUCAGUAGCUGGUCUGAGAGGACGAUCAGCCACACUGGGACUGAGACACGGCCCAGACUCCUACGGGAGGCAGCAGUGGGGAAUUUUGGACAAUGGGGGCAACCCUGAUCCAGCAAUGCCGCGUGUGUGAAGAAGGCCUUCGGGUUGUAAAGCACUUUUGUCCGGAAAGAAAUCGCGCUGGUUAAUACCUGGCGUGGAUGACGGUACCGGAAGAAUAAGCACCGGCUAACUACGUGCCAGCAGCCGCCGUAA
rnacentral:rRNA from 1 species